UACAGAGGUCUCAAGCGUUGUUCGGAAUUACUGGGCGUAAAGAGCUCGUAGGCGGUCUGUCGCGUCGGCUGUGAAAUCCCGAGGCUCAACCUCGGGUCUGCAGUCGAUACGGGCAAACUAGAGUAUUGCAGGGGAGACUGGAAUUCCUGGUGUAGCGGUGAAAUGCGUAGAUAUCUGCAGGAACACCCGUGGCGAAAGCGGCGCGCUGGACCACUACUGACGCUGAGGAACGAAAGCUAGGGGAGCAAACAGG
rnacentral:rRNA from 1 species